UAUUUAAUUUUAAAUUUAUUAUUAUUUUUGCUUGUUUGAUUAUUUUGAUUGAAAUAACUUAUUUUUUAGUAUAUUUUAUAGAAAUUAUUAAUUAUAAUUAUAGUUAAUUGUACUGUGAAGGAGUUUAUUUAAUUUGUUAAAAGAAUAUAUUUUUAUAUUACCUUUUGUAUCAGGGUUUAUUAAAUAAGUAUUAUUUAAUAAUAAUAUUCCCGAAGUUUUAAGAGUUAAAUUAAUUUUAUUUUUUAUGUUAUAAAAUAAUUUUAAAAAUUAGUUUGGUAGUUAUAUGCUAUUCAUUUAAAUAUAUCUGGUUUUUUAAUAAAUGAAUUUAAUUCAUAAUUAACAAGUUAUAUUAUAAUUUAUUGUUUUAUAAUUUGUUAAUUAAAUAUAAUAAGGGAUUAGCUUUAUUUUAUUUUUAAAACUUUAAUUAUGUUAAUUUCUUGUAGGCUUAAUAACAGCCAUCUUUAAUUUAGUUAUAUUUUAUUUUUAUUAUAUAUUUAUUUAUUUAUAGUUUAAUUUAUUAUUAAAAUAAUAAACUUAAUUUUUAAGUUUAUGUAAUAAUGAUAAAAUUAGUAGUUUAUUAAAUUUAAAUAUAGUAAUUCGGCAAAUAUUGUUUCCGCCUGUUUAACAAAAACAUGUCUUAUAGAUAUUAAUUUUAAGUCUAUCCUGCUCAAUGAUAAUUUAAUUAAAUAGCCGCAGUAUUCUAACUGUGCAAAGGUAGCAUAAUCAUUUGUCUUUUAAUUGGAGGCUUGUAUGAAUGGUUGGACGAGAUACAAACUUUCUUUAUUUAAUUUAUAUGAAUUUUAUUUUUAAGUAAAAAAUCUUAAAUUUAUUUGCAAGACGAGAAGACCCUAUAGAAUUUUAUUUAAUAUUUAAUAAUAUUUAUUAAUUUUUUUUAUUAUUAUUAUUUAUUAAAUUUUGUUGGGGUGACAAUGAAAUUUAUUCAACUUUCAUUUAUUAAUUAUUCACUAAUUAGUGUUUAUUAUGAUCCUUAUUUAAAGAUUAUAAGAUUAAAUUACCUUAGGGAUAACAGCGUAAUUCUUUCUUAGAGUUCUUAUCAAUGAUGGAGUUUGCGACCUCGAUGUUGGAUUAAAGUUAAAUUUAGGUGCAGAAGCUUAAAUUGUAGGUCUGUUCGACCUUUAAACCUUUACAUGAUCUGAGUUCAGACCGGCGUGAGCCAGGUUGGUUUCUAUCUGCAAUUUUUUUUAAUGUUUUAGUACGAAAGGACCAAAUAUUAAUAAUAUUUAUUUUAUAAUUGAUUAAUAUUA
rnacentral:rRNA from 1 species